rnacentral:rRNA from 1 species
UACGUAGGGGGCGAGCGUUGUCCGGAGUUACUGGGCGUAAAGGGCAUGCAGGCGGUCCGACACGUUUUGUGUGACAGCGGGUGGCUUAACUACCCGAGGAUACGAAAGACGGUGGGACUUGAGGACUCGAGAGGGACACGGAAUUCCGGGUGGAGUGGUGAAAUGCGUAGAGAUCCGGAGGAACACCGAAGGCGAAGGCAGUGUCCUGGCGAGUGACUGACGCUGAGGUGCGAAAGCCAGGGGAGCGAACGGG